UUAGUACUCCCUCCGUGCUAAAAUUCUUGUCUUAGAUUUGUCUGAAUACGGAUGUAUCAAGUCACAUUUUAGUAUUAGAUAUAUCCGUGUCUAGACAAAUUUAAAAUAAGAAUUUUAGGAUGGAGGGAGUAUGAA
rfam:Triticum aestivum genome assembly, contig: Triticum_aestivum_CS42_TGACv1_scaffold_558959_7AL